rnacentral:rRNA from 1 species
CCUACGGGUGGCAGCAGUGGGGGAUAUUGCACAAUGGGGGAAACCCUGAUGCAGCGACGCCGCGUGUGGGAAGACGGUCCUCUGGAUUGUAAACCACUGUCCCCAGGGACGAAGAUGACGGUACCGGGGGAGGAAGCGCCGGCUAACUACGUGCCAGCAGCCGCGGUAAUACGGAGGGAGCGAGCGUUGUCCGGAAUUACUGGGGGUAAAGGGAGCGUAGGCGGGGAGGCAAGGUGGGUGUCAAAACUACCGGCUCAACUGGUAGUCGCACUCAAAACUGCAGCUGUUGAGUGAAGUAGAGGCAGGCGGACUUCCUAGUGUAGCGGUGAAAUGCGUCGAUAUUAGGAGGAACACCAGUGGCGAAGGCGGCCUGCUGGGCUUUUACUGACGCUGAGGCUCGAAAGUGUGGGGAGCACACAGGAUUAGAUACCCUGGUAGUC